UGAAAUUAUAUGCAUGUAUAUUUCUUGCAUUUUGUUGCCAACAUUGUUGAUUCAUGGAUGUUAAUAAGUGUUCUUCAACAUUGGAAAUCUACAAAUGAAUAUAAACUACAAUAUAUAAGAGUAGUAAUAUACAUGGUAUCUUCCUCUACUCGCAGGAAAUAAGAAAUGCAUUCACGAAAAGUGAAGCACAUGAGAAUGUGGGAACGGACUCAUAUGUUUUGAGGAACGAGGAAUCAUGGAGAGAAAAGCAUAAUUUUGUCAUGAGGAAAGAACAAUGGAGGCCAUCUAGGUGGCCGUGCUCUAGAAGGUCAUCUAGCAGUAUGAGUAAUAAGUCUUGAUAUUUUCUUUUUCGGUUGAUGGUUCAUUGUUGUAGCAUGACUCGAUGACGGCCGUGGAGAUGGAGCAGAGGGAGAGGAGUUGGCUGCAGAGGUCCCAGCAGAGAAGAAUCAGUGAAUGCAGUUUGUGGCGCUGAUGCUAGCUACCUAGCUUUUUUCCCCUUUGUGUACAAAACAACAAUUUCGACUUUGUAAUCUACAACUUUCCCUUCAACGGGUAUUUUGGCUAUUUGUGCA